rnacentral:rRNA from 1 species
UACGAAGGGGGCUAGCGUUGUUCGGAAUUACUGGGCGUAAAGCGCACGUAGGCGGACUAUUAAGUCAGGGGUGAAAUCCCGGGGCUCAACCCCGGAACUGCCUUUGAUACUGGUAGUCUCGAGUCCGGAAGAGGUGAGUGGAAUUCCGAGUGUAGAGGUGAAAUUCGUAGAUAUUCGGAGGAACACCAGUGGCGAAGGCGGCUUCCUGGACCUGAUCUGACACUGAGGAGCGAAAGCGUGGGGAGCGAUCCGG